ACACACACCAACACAGAAUAGAAGAGAGAAAGAAAGAAAAAGAAAGAGAGAGAGAGAGAGAGAAUACCAACACUCUUCGUUCGAGGAUGUUUUUUUU
rnacentral:ribozyme from 14 species